ACGAUAUGCUUUGGGGAGCUGUAAGUAAGCUUUGAUCCAGAGAUUUCCGAAUGGGGAAACCCAGCAUGAGUUAUGUCAUGUUAUCGAUAUGUGAAUACAUAGCAUAUCAGAAGGCACACCCGGAGAACUGAAACAUCUUAGUACCCGGAGGAAGAGAAAGAAAAUUCGAUUCCCUUAGUAGCGGCGAGCGAAACGGGAAGAGCCCAAACCAACAAGCUUGCUUGUUGGGGUUGUAGGACACUCUAUACGGAGUUACAAAGGACGACAUUAGACGAAUCAUCUGGAAAGAUGAAUCAAAGAAGGUAAUAAUCCUGUAGUCGAAAAUGUUGUCUCUCUUGAGUGGAUCCUGAGUACGACGGAGCACGUGAAAUUCCGUCGGAAUCUGGGAGGACCAUCUCCUAAGGCUAAAUACUCUCUAGUGACCGAUAGUGAACCAGUACCGUGAGGGAAAGGUGAAAAGCACCCCGGAAGGGGAGUGAAAUAGAACCUGAAACCGUGUGCUUACAAGUAGUCAGAGCCCGUUAAUGGGUGAUGGCGUGCCUUUUGUAGAAUGAACCGGCGAGUUACGAUUUGAUGCAAGGUUAAGCAGUAAAUGUGGAGCCGUAGCGAAAGCGAGUCUGAAUAGGGCGUUUAGUAUUUGGUCGUAGACCCGAAACCAGGUGAUCUACCCUUGGUCAGGUUGAAGUUCAGGUAACACUGAAUGGAGGACCGAACCGACUUACGUUGAAAAGUGAGCGGAUGAACUGAGGGUAGCGGAGAAAUUCCAAUCGAACCUGGAGAUAGCUGGUUCUCUCCGAAAUAGCUUUAGGGCUAGCCUCAAGUGAUGAUUAUUGGAGGUAGAGCACUGUUUGGACGAGGGGCCCCUCUCGGGUUACCGAAUUCAGACAAACUCCGAAUGCCAAUUAAUUUAACUUGGGAGUCAGAACAUGGGUGAUAAGGUCCGUGUUCGAAAGGGAAACAGCCCAGACCACCAGCUAAGGUCCCAAAAUAUAUGUUAAGUGGAAAAGGAUGUGGCGUUGCCCAGACAACUAGGAUGUUGGCUUAGAAGCAGCCAUCAUUUAAAGAGUGCGUAAUAGCUCACUAGUCGAGUGACACUGCGCCGAAAAUGUACCGGGGCUAAACAUAUUACCGAAGCUGUGGAUUGUCCUUUGGACAAUGGUAGGAGAGCGUUCUAAGGGCGUUGAAGCAUGAUCGUAAGGACAUGUGGAGCGCUUAGAAGUGAGAAUGCCGGUGUGAGUAGCGAAAGACGGGUGAGAAUCCCGUCCACCGAUUGACUAAGGUUUCCAGAGGAAGGCUCGUCCGCUCUGGGUUAGUCGGGUCCUAAGCUGAGGCCGACAGGCGUAGGCGAUGGAUAACAGGUUGAUAUUCCUGUACCACCUAUAAUCGUUUUAAUCGAUGGGGGGACGCAGUAGGAUAGGCGAAGCGUGCGAUUGGAUUGCACGUCUAAGCAGUAAGGCUGAGUAUUAGGCAAAUCCGGUACUCGUUAAGGCUGAGCUGUGAUGGGGAGAAGACAUUGUGUCUUCGAGUCGUUGAUUUCACACUGCCGAGAAAAGCCUCUAGAUAGAAAAUAGGUGCCCGUACCGCAAACCGACACAGGUAGUCAAGAUGAGAAUUCUAAGGUGAGCGAGCGAACUCUCGUUAAGGAACUCGGCAAAAUGACCCCGUAACUUCGGGAGAAGGGGUGCUCUUUAGGGUUAACGCCCAGAAGAGCCGCAGUGAAUAGGCCCAAGCGACUGUUUAUCAAAAACACAGGUCUCUGCUAAACCGUAAGGUGAUGUAUAGGGGCUGACGCCUGCCCGGUGCUGGAAGGUUAAGAGGAGUGGUUAGCUUCUGCGAAGCUACGAAUCGAAGCCCCAGUAAACGGCGGCCGUAACUAUAACGGUCCUAAGGUAGCGAAAUUCCUUGUCGGGUAAGUUCCGACCCGCACGAAAGGCGUAACGAUUUGGGCACUGUCUCAACGAGAGACUCGGUGAAAUCAUAGUACCUGUGAAGAUGCAGGUUACCCGCGACAGGACGGAAAGACCCCGUGGAGCUUUACUGUAGCCUGAUAUUGAAAUUCGGCACAGCUUGUACAGGAUAGGUAGGAGCCUUUGAAACGUGAGCGCUAGCUUACGUGGAGGCGCUGGUGGGAUACUACCCUAGCUGUGUUGGCUUUCUAACCCGCACCACUUAUCGUGGUGGGAGACAGUGUCAGGCGGGCAGUUUGACUGGGGCGGUCGCCUCCUAAAAGGUAACGGAGGCGCUCAAAGGUUCCCUCAGAAUGGUUGGAAAUCAUUCAUAGAGUGUAAAGGCAUAAGGGAGCUUGACUGCGAGACCUACAAGUCGAGCAGGGUCGAAAGACGGACUUAGUGAUCCGGUGGUUCCGCAUGGAAGGGCCAUCGCUCAACGGAUAAAAGCUACCCCGGGGAUAACAGGCUUAUCUCCCCCAAGAGUUCACAUCGACGGGGAGGUUUGGCACCUCGAUGUCGGCUCAUCGCAUCCUGGGGCUGUAGUCGGUCCCAAGGGUUGGGCUGUUCGCCCAUUAAAGCGGUACGCGAGCUGGGUUCAGAACGUCGUGAGACAGUUCGGUCCCUAUCCGUCGUGGGCGUAGGAAAUUUGAGAGGAGCUGUCCUUAGUACGAGAGGACCGGGAUGGACAUACCUCUGGUGUACCAGUUGUCGUGCCAACGGCAUAGCUGGGUAGCUAUGUGUGGACGGGAUAAGUGCUGAAAGCAUCUAAGCAUGAAGCCCCCCUCAAGAUGAGAUUUCCCAACUUCGGUUAUAAGAUCCCUCAAAGAUGAUGAGGUUAAUAGGUUCGAGGUGGAAGCAUGGUGACAUGUGGAGCUGACGAAUACUAAUCGAUCGAAGACUUAAUCAA
rnacentral:rRNA from 2 species